CAGCCUACGGGACGCAGCAGUGGGGAAUAUUGGACAAUGGGGGAAACCCUGAUCCAGCGACGCCGCGUGAGUGAAGAAGUAUCUCGGUACGUAAAGCUCUAUCAGCAGGGAAGAAAGAAAGUCUUUGGCUUUGGACGGUACCUGACUAAGAAGCCCCGGCUAACUACGUGCCAGCAGCCGCGGUAAUACGUAGGGGGCAAGCGUUAUCCGGAUUUACUGGGUGUAAAGGGAGCGUAGACGGCAGCGCAAGUCUGGAGUGAAAUGCCGGGGCUCAACCCCGGAACUGCUUUGGAAACUGUG
rnacentral:rRNA from 1 species